CAAAGUUUAGUCUACGCCAUGCCUCCUACAUUUCCCCCACACAAAACCAUCAUUUCUUCUUCUGUUUUUUCUAUUUCUUUUUCUUCUCUGACACGUUCUUGUUUUCCCUCUCUAUUUUCCUUUCCCUUCCCCUUCCCCUCAUGGAAUCGACAAUCGACGACCAAUAAUCCGGUUGCCACCAUGUUGAACGUGCCCAUCUGCCUUCUUCUCCGAUAUGUGGAGCUUCUUCUCAGUUAUUGAGGCAACUAUUUGAAUCGAUUUUGAGAUUAAAUUUUUUCUUUUUUGAAUUUUGAUAAUAAGUAUUUAUUAAUUAGUUUCCUCACUUAGUGAGCAUUUUUAAGUGUAAAUUUGUUAACAUUUUAGCUUUUUGAAGAAAGUAAUUUGGUUAAAUUUUUGUGAUAUUUUUCAGGUCAAAACGGGGUUAACAAUGAAGAAAGUUUCUUGUACGGUGAUCUAUAUGUUUUUUGCAUUCGGUGUGAUUUUCUUAUGUUUUAGUGUGUUUCAGUGUGUACGUAUUUUUUAUUUAUUUUAAUGUAAAGGUUUUUGAAUUUGAAGUAUUUCUAAUGAUUUUUAUGAUCAUCUACAGAUUACAGACGCCAAAUCCUUGAAUCAGGUAUAAUCAUUUUUCUGAAUAAUAGCAAUAAUUUAUGUUCGCUGGCACUGCUGAUGAUAGAUCAUGCUUCUUAUGUGAUUUGAAUGGAAAAACUUGUUUUGUUUUUCAUUUAGCAUGAUACUCAUGUCGAUUACAUCUUGGUUGUUAGGGUAGUCUCAUGUGUAAAUCCACUCUUCUUUGCUCAAUUACAUGGUAUAAUUUUACAACAAUGAAAUAUUUUUUUUAAGAAAUUCAUAAAAACAUCCAUAUAACUUAUUAUUAUUAAAUCAUAUAGUCCAAGAUUAAAUUAAAGAGAGAAAAAAAAAAAAAAAAAAAAAAAAAAAAAACCCGUACAUUUAGGUUGAGCGCUGGUAACUUUGCAUAUUAAUUGCCUAAAAUGAAACCCAAAUUUUGGUUGAAUUCUGAGAGCUUAUUUUCCUGUUUUCUAAUUGGUGAUGUAUUGGUGCAGAUAUUGUUUGUAUUAAAAGAGAAACAAAAUAGAAAUGCCUUGUGUUUAUGGGCAAUAUCCCAAUUCUACCUUUGGGAAGUCCACUACCUAUCCAAGUUCACUCUUCACGGCUCAGUUUCUAGCAGUGCUUCAAAAUAGCGGAAUAAGUACUACUAAUAUCAAGUUCUCAACUCGUAUAAUAGUGUCUAGAGCAGCAUUGAAUUUGAAGGACUUUAAUGUGGAUGUCGAGCUAGGCAAUGACAAGUAAUAGUAGUGGUGCUGGCAUUUUGAAUGGGAAGGCUACCGAAAAGGUCAGAGACUACAGCUAAAGAAUGCUGGUUGUUAAGCGUUCGAGAGGAUAAGAGCGCAAAUAUGAACAUCUUCGUAUCUAUCUUGCUUUGGCAAAUCAUUCUCCAUUUCUGCUAUCAUUAAAAUUUUGUUUGAUUGCAAUUUUACAAUGCAAUAAGUGAAUGAGCAUUUUGCAGUUUGUUCUAAUUUUGUCCAACUAUAUAUUGAUUUUAAGUUUGUUUUAUUCUGUGCUACUGAAUAUUUAGUUGAUGGAUAAUGUUUGGUAGAUUAGUGAUCUAUUCCCAGAAUCUGCGUUAUUAGAUUGAAUAAAAUAUUUUUUUUUUCCAAUUAAUAGGAAAUUUGCAAUGUUGAGAAUUCAGGAGUCCAAUUAAGUCUACUUUAUGUAGUCAUAUAGUCUACAGAUACUCUUAAGGCAUAUCCACUAUGCUGCUGUUAAUAUUUUGAUUAUUGCUUAGAUUAUAAGCCCCACUGAUACUACCACCUAUUGUCUAAUGAUUGACUUUGGGGAGUGAUGGUGCAACUUGAGG
rnacentral:lncRNA from 1 species